ensembl:lncRNA
GUCAGUCCCCUGUCCCCCUACACCAGUCUCUAUCAGAGGGACAGUGCUGCUGUCAGCCUGAAUGAAGAGGUUUAUCCUGACAUCAACGUCAUCACAGGUCAGUCCCCUAUCCCCCUAAACCAGUCUCUAUCAGCAUCAACGUCAUCACAGGUCAGUCCCCUAUCCCCUAAACCAGUCUCUAUCAGCAUCAACGUCAUCACAGGUCAGUCCCCUAUCCCCCUACACCAGUCUCUAUCAGCAUCAACGUCAUCACAGGUCAGUCCCCUGUCCCCCUACACCAGUCUCUAUCAGCAUCAACGUCAUCACAGGUCAGUCCCCUAUCCCCCUACACCAGUCUCUAUCAGCAUCAACGUCAUCACAGGUCAGUCCCCUGUCCCCCUACACCAGUCUCUAUCAGCAUCAACGUCAUCACAGGUCAGUCCCCUGUCCUCCUACACCUGUCUCUAUCAGCAUCAACGUCAUCACAGGUCAGUCCCCUAUCCCCCUACACCAGUCUCUAUCCUGACAUCAACGUCAUCACAGGUCAGUCCCCAAUCCCC